AGGCAGCCUCCUUGCGAAUGAUAUAAUGGCAAGGGUGGUGUUAUUCUGCUCAUAGAUUGAAUUUUCUGCUCUUCAGAUUUGCUGAGGUUGGGUAUCAUAAUCCUAUCUCUGAAGCUGGUCUAGUAAGCUCAAGCACAUU